rnacentral:tRNA from 1 species
GGGUAUAGCUCAGUGGUAGUGUGUGCACUUGGCAUGUACAAAGUCCUGGGUUCAAUCCCCAGUGCCUCCG